GUCUGAACAUGGCAUGGACCGGACAGUUGUUUUGACGGAGAAACAUCAAAACGAUGAACGUAUCCUGGUUGGACGUCUCACCAAGCCAUUUGGAGGAUGAAUUAGUGUCCAGGAAGCUGCUGUGGACGGGAGAUGCCAGCCUCGACACCUCUUGGAAAAGCUUUUGGACAAGCGUUGAAGUAUGACACGGAGGAACAACUGCUCUCAGGCUUUGGGAGACCACGAGAAAUACUGUGAGCCAACCACAGGCCUUCAAUUAUCUGCUGUCAAGGCGGAAGAAUGACUGACAUGCUUCUUGGGGGAAGACGG